rnacentral:rRNA from 1 species
GAUGAACGCUGGCGGCGUGCUUAACACAUGCAAGUCGAACGGAAAGGCCCAAGCUUGCUUGGGUACUCGAGUGGCGAACGGGUGAGUAACACGUGGGUGAUCUGCCCUGCACUUCGGGAUAAGCCUGGGAAACUGGGUCUAAUACUGGAUAGGACCACUUCUUGGAUGGUGUGGUGGAAAGUUUUUUCGGUGUGGGAUGAGCUCGCGGCCUAUCAGCUUGUUGGUGGGGUAAUGGCCUACCAAGUCGUCGACGGGUAGCCGGCCUGAGAGGGUGUACGGCCACAUUGGGACUGAGAUACGGCCCAGACUCCUACGGGAGGCAGCAGUGGGGAAUAUUGCACAAUGGGCGCAAGCCUGAUGCAGCGACGCCGCGUGGGGGAUGACGGCCUUCGGGUUGUAAACUCCUUUCGCUAGGGACGAAGCGUUUUUGUGACGGUACCUGGAGAAGAAGCACCGGCUAACUACGUG